CUCUCGGUCUCCCUCUCCCUCUCUUUCCACGGUCUCCCUCUGAUGCUGAGCCGAAGCUGGACUGUACUGCUGCCAUCUCGGCUCACUGCAACCUCCCUGCCUGAUUCUCCUGCCUCAGCCUGCCGAGUGCCUGCAAUUGCAGGCGCGCGCCACCACGCCUGACUGGUUUUCAUACUUUUUUGGUGGAGACGGGGUUUCGCUGUGUUGGCCGGGCUGGUCUCCAGCUCCUAACCGCGAGUGAUCCGCCAGCCUUGGCCUCCCGAGGUGCCGGGAUUGCAGACGGAGUCUGGUUCACUCAGUGCUCAAUGGUGCCCAGGCUGGAGUGCAGUGGCGUGAUCUCAGCUCGCUACAACCUCCAUCUCCCAGCCGCCUGCCUUGGCCUCCCAAAGUGCCAAGAUUGCAGCCUCUGCCCGGCCACCACCCCGUCUGGGAAGUAAGGAGCGUCUCUGCCUGGCUGCCCAUCGUCUGGGACGUGAGGAGCCCCUCUGCCUGGCUGCCCAGUCUGGAAAGUGAGGAGCGUCUCUGCCCGGCCGCCAUCCCAUCUAGGAAGUGAGGAGCGCCUCUUCCCGGCAGCCAUCCCAUCUGGGAAGUGAGGAGCGUCUCUGCCCGGCCGCCCAUCGUCUGAGAUGUGGGGAGCGCCUCUGCCCCGCCGCCCCGUCUGGGAUGUGAGGAGCGCCUCUACCCGGCGGCGACCCCGUCUGGGAGGUGAGGAGCGUCUCUGCCCAGCCGCCCCGUCUGAGAAGUGAGGAGACCCUCCGCCCAGCAUCCGCCCCAUCUGAGAAGUGAGGAGCCCCUCCGCCCGGCAGCCGCCCCGUCUGAGAAGUGAGGAGUCCCUCUGCCCGGCAGCCACCCCGUCUGGGAAGUGAGGAGCGUCUCCGCCCGGCAGCCGCCCCGUCCGGGAGGGAGGUGGGGGGGUCAGCCCCCCGCCCGGCCAGCUGCCCCG
rnacentral:lncRNA from 1 species